GGCGGACAUAAAGCUUUGAAUUUUCAAACCUUCGUGCUUUUAAGAGUGUUAAAUUAAAACUAAGAUAAUGCCAAUCGCUAACCCUUAGUUACUUGUCUUCACGACAUAUACAGGAAAAAAGAAACCAGAGAAAUGGUCUUAAGAUUUUCCAGGCAGGCCAACUAAGAAAACCAACCAUCUAAAGUAGAUGUGACUUGAUGCUUAACAGUAACGAAGAUUCUUCCUAAUGUGUUUUCUAUGCUUUUUUUAUCAGCUUGUAAUCCCAAAUAUCUAAGUUUUUUACUUUCUGGGAUAUCAAAUGCUGAUUGCUGACAGAAAUGACUAUAAUACAUCUGCAAAAUCUACAAAAUUUCUUCUAUAUCUAGACAUUUCCAGUAUGAAUAAAUCAUUUAUAGUUAAUAACACAGUGACUUCAAUAUAAGGAACUUACACUGAUGCUGCUCU
rnacentral:misc_RNA from 1 species